UGAACGCUGGCGGCGUGCCUACUACAUGCACGUCGAGCGACCAGACGAGGAGCUUGCUCCUCUGACGUUAGCGGCGGACGGGUGAGUAACACGUGGAUAACCUACCUAUAAGACUGGGAUAACUUCGGGAAACCGGAGCUAAUACCGGAUAAUAUAUUGAACCGCAUGGUUCAAUAGUGAAAGACGGUUUUGCUGUCACUUAUAGAUGGAUCCGCGCCGCAUUAGCUAGUUGGUAAGGUAACGGCUUACCAAGGCAACGAUGCGUAGCCGACCUGAGAGGGUGAUCGGCCACACUGGAACUGAGACACGGUCCAGACUCCUACGGGAGGCAGCAGUAGGGAAUCUUCCGCAAUGGGCGAAAGCUUGACGGAGCAACGCCGCGUGAGUGAUGAAGGUCUUCGGAUCGUAAAACUCUGUUAUUAGGGAAGAACAAAUGUGUAAGUAACUAUGCACGUCUUGACGGUACCUAAUCAGAAAGCCACGGCUAACUACGUG
rnacentral:rRNA from 1 species